AUUACUUCAUAGUAUGCUUUUUUGAGUAGUGUAGUAUCUGUUCUUAUCAGUUUAAUAUCUAUCUCUAUAUGAGGACUACGUAUUGAAUUGAUUUUAAGAACAGGGAGACGGAAGAGGUUCUUGCUCUGUCCGCUCCACGCAUCGACCUGGUAUUGUAGUACCUCCAGAAAAGUUCUGGGGGCAGUCGUG